GUGAUAGAGGCUGUGAUAGGGCCGUGACAGACUGUGAUAGAGGCUGUGACAGGCUGAUACAGGGGCUGGGACAAAACUGAGACAGAAUCUACGAUAGAGGCUCUGACAGGGGCUAGGACAGAGUCUGUGACAGGGGUUGUGACAGAGUCUGUGACAGAGGCCAUGACAGAAGCUGUGACAGGGGCUAUGACAGGGGCUGUGAUAGGAGCUGUGGCUGUGACAGGAGCUGUGAUGGGGGCUAUGACAGAGACUCUAACAGGAGCUAUGACAGAGGCUGUGACAGAGGCUGUAACAGGGGCUGCGACAGGGGCUGUGACAGGUAUUGUGACAAAGGCUGCGGCAGGUACUAUGACAGAUGCUGCCACAGUGCUGUGACAAAGGCUGAGACAGGGACGGUGAGAGAGCCCGGGACAGAAAUGUGACUAAGUCUGGAACCACAAUCAGAGUUGGGACAACAGCUCCCGGAGCCCAGGCCUACACUCCCACGGUUGACAGAGCAGUUGGCGGUGACAGCAGCAACACAGCAAACACAUGGGCCCAGCCAGGCCCAGGCACUUGUGGAACUGCCAACAGGCUGAAGCUGCCACAGGAGAGCGAAAGGGGGUGAGUGAGGCCGGUUCCUAGCCCCCUGCCGUGGGUUCCUGUGUGUCCAUGGGAGAAGGUCCAUGAUGCCAUGAGAAUCCCAAAGGCAUCUGUGACUCACAAGACAGUAAAGCCCCUGACUCAGGUCCUUGGAGGAAGAAGUGCCUCCUGCUGGGCUGUGCCCUCCCGCGAGACCCGGUCUGCCCCCCCUCUGGGUUUCUUCCACUGCUAUGGCUCUGCAGGCAGACUGUCCCCAGAGCCAUCUGGAGCUGUGUGCCUCGCUGCUCACCUGGACACAGCGCUGCGCCUCUAUCGACUGCCCUAGUUAAGAGCUGUUGAGCUGACUGCAGAGACCAAGUCUGCACCUGCCCCCUCCAGAGGUGGCCAGGCUUUGAGGUGGGGUAUAAGCAAAAGCCCUCUGAAUCUCUGGGCUUGCAGGAAGGAGCAGGAGUCCUGGAGCCAAAAAAGACGUGCACUUUACCUUG